UCCUUUUCCCUUCUUCUUCUCCCUCCCAGCCAGCAGGUCGCCGGCCCACUCCUUUCUCCCCCACCGCCGGCCCGCUCCCCCUCUUUUUUUCCCUCUCACCCGGCCCAGCAGCGCCCACCUCCCAUCUUCCCUCUCCACCUCCUCCUUCCGCGUGGGCCGGCCCAAACCGAGCUGCCACUCGCCUCUCUCUCGCGCGCCCGAGGUCUGGACUGCCACUCUCUCCUCCUCGGGUGAGAAUGACAGGUGGGGCCCACAUGUCAU
rnacentral:lncRNA from 1 species